UACGAAGGGGGCUAGCGUUGCUCGGAAUUACUGGGCGUAAAGGGCGCGUAGGCGGCCCUGUUAGUCAGGCGUGAAAGUCCUGGGCUCAACCUGGGAACUGCGCUUGAUACGGCAGAGCUAGAGGAUGGAAGAGGCUCGCGGAAUUCCCAGUGUAGAGGUGAAAUUCGUAGAUAUUGGGAAGAACACCGGUGGCGAAGGCGGCGAGCUGGUCCAUUACUGACGCUGAGGCGCGAAAGCGUGGGGAGCAAACAGG
rnacentral:rRNA from 1 species